GAUGAACGCUGGCGGCGUGCCUAAUACAUGCAAGUCGAGCGAACAGAUGAGGAGCUUGCUCCUCUGACGUUAGCGGCGGACGGGUGAGUAACACGUGGAUAGCCUACCUAUCAGACUGGGAUAACUUCGGGAAACCGGCGCUAAUACCGGAUAAUAUCUUGAACCGCAUGGUUCAAUAGUGAAAGACGGUUUUGCUGUCACUUCUAGAUGGAUCCGCGCCGCAUUAGCUAGUUGGUAAGGUAACGGCUUACCACGGCAACGAUGCGUAGCCGACCUGAGAGGGUGAUCGGCCACACUGGAACGGAGACACCGUCCAGACUACUAAGGGAGGCAGCAGUAGGGAAUCUUCCGCAAUGGGCGAAAGCCUGACGGAGCAACGCCGCGUGAGUGAUGAAGGUCUUCGGAUCGUAAAACUCGGUUAUUAGGGAAGAACAAAUGUGUAAGUAACUAUGCACGUCUUGACGGUAACUAAUCAGAAAGCCACGGCUAACUACGUG
rnacentral:rRNA from 1 species